UACGGAGGGAGCUAGCGUUGUUCGGAAUUACUGGGCGUAAAGCGCGCGUAGGCGGCUUUGUAAGUUAGAGGUGAAAGCCCGGGGCUCAACCCCGGAAUUGCCUUUAAGACUGCAUCGCUUGAAUCCGGGAGAGGUGAGUGGAAUUCCGAGUGUAGAGGUGAAAUUCGUAGAUAUUCGGAAGAACACCAGUGGCGAAGGCGGCUCACUGGACCGGUACUGACGCUGAGACGCGAAAGCGUGGGGGAGCGAAACAGG
rnacentral:rRNA from 1 species